GCGGCAACAGCUCAAAUUUGAAAUCUGGCCCUCGGGUCCGAGUUGUAAUUUGUAGAGGAUGCUUUUGGUGCGGUGCCUUCCGAGUUCCCUGGAACGGGACGCCAUAGAGGGUGAGAGCCCCGUCUGGUUGGACACCAAGCCUCUGUAAAGCUCCUUCGACGAGUCGAGUAGUUUGGGAAUGCUGCUCUAAAUGGGAGGUAUAUGUCUUCUAAAGCUAAAUACCGGCCAGAGACCGAUAGCGCACAAGUAGAGUGAUCGAAAGAUGAAAAGCACUUUGAAAAGAGGGUUAAAUAGUACGUGAAAUUGUUGAAAGGGAAGCGCUUGUGACCAGACUUGAGCCCGGUUAAUCAUCCAGCCUUCUGGCUGGUGCACUUGGCCGGCUCAGGCCAGCAUCAGUUCGGCGUGGGGGAUAAAGGCUUCGGGAAUGUGGCUCCUCCGGGAGUGUUAUAGCCCGUUGCGUAAUACCCUGUACUGGACUGAGGUUCGCGCAUCUGCAAGGAUGCUGGCGUAAUGGUCAUCAGCGACCCGUCUUGAAACACGGACCAAGGAGUCGUCUUCGUAUGCGAGUGUUCGGGUGUCAAACCCCUACGCGUAAUGAAAGUGAACGCAGGUGAGAGCUUCGGCGCAUCAUCGACCGAUCCUGAUGUUCUCGGACGGAUUUGAGUAAGAGCAUACGGGGCCGGACCCGAAAGAAGGUGAACUAUGCCUGUAUAGGGUGAAGCCAGAGGAAACUCUGGUGGAGGCUCGCAGCGGUUCUGACGUGCAAAUCGAUCGUCAAAUAUGGGCAU
rnacentral:rRNA from 1 species